UGGCAGCCCCCAAUCUAACGAGGAUUGGCAUCACGAGGCUCACGUCACUGCCGAAACAGAUGAAAUCCCUCCUCCCAUCUCUUCGACAUCUGCAUUUAAACACUUGUCCCGAAAUUGAGUGCUUCCCGGAAGGGGGUUUGCCCUCCAGCCUACAAUCCCUUGUCAUCCAUAAUUGCAAGAAGCUCAUGAGUCGUAGGAGAGAGUGGGGUUUGGAGAAACUCCACUUUUUCACGCACUUGGAGAUUUCUGGUAGUGAUGAAGAGUCGUUUCCAGAGGAGGAUUGGCUGUUGCCUUGCACGCUUCGAACACUCAAGUUGAGCUUCCUUAAGAAUCUGAAAGUGCUAAACUAUUCGGGUCUUCGACGCCUCACCUCUCUUGAAGAGCUAGGCAUCAUUCAUUGCCCUCGACUCCAGUCCCUACCGGAAGCGGGACUGCCCACCUCCCUCACCAAACUACAUAUCUGGGCCUGUCCACUGCUGAAACCAAGGUUAGAGUGGGAGAAAGGACAAGACUGGCACAAGGUUGCCCGCAUCCCCUGCGUAGUAGUCGAUUGGCAGCCAAUUCCUUGACGGUGACGCUGGUUGCUGCUGAGGACUUGCCUUCCAGAGUUACAAGACCCUCAUCAUCAUCGAUUCAUAUAAUUAAAGGAUAUGGAUUACUCUCUCCCAUACACCUUUCUUAGUACUCUGAGGACCAUCGUUGCUCUAUCUUCUACCAUUGCAAAAUGGGCCAGUGCAGAGUUGCUGACAUUAUUUUUGUGGUGGAUUAGUAGAAUGGGGGCCAUUGCAGAGUUGCUGACGUUAUUUGUGGAGUAGAAAAAGAAAGAAGAUUGGGACAAGGGGGUGGAUUUUCAACUCCUAAUCUGUAGCAGCUUACUCUCAUCAAGUGCCAGAAGCUUAAGUUACUGCUUGAACAGUCCUCCUAUUGUGAAAAGCUCAUGGAUCACCAAAGAAAGUGGGAGACUCCCUCUCACACACUCGAACCAUUUGUGAUAGCUAUGAGGUAGAGUUGUUUCCAGAGGAGGACUGGUUGCUGCCUUGCACACUUGAAUCUCUCGGAUGGUGGAGCCUUAAGAAUUUGAAAAUGCUAAACUAUUCAGGUCUUUGAUACCUCACUUUUUUCUUCAAAAGAUAAAAAUCAUGUACUACACUCAAGUCCUUACCAGAAUAGGGGCUGCCCACCUCUCUCACUACACUGGAAAUCUUGGACUGAAACCAAGGAUGGAAUUGGAGAAAGGAAAUCACUGGCUCAAGCUUAUAGACAUCCCUCCAUAAUAGUUGAUCAAGAAUUAGUCCCUUCGUGGAGACACUGGAAGUGUGAGGGAUCCCCAAAAUUACAAGAUCUCCAUCAUCUCUUUGAAUUAAGAAUUGUGCUCUCCCUAUCCAGGGAAUACAUCUCAUUGUGCUCUCCCUAGCUUCAGCCAUUGCUGGAAAAGGGCUACCUAUCUCGCCCUUUAUGGCAGAAAUCAAAAACUGCCUGCAUCGAUGACACUACAGGAGAGAAGAUGAUUGGUCCAAUGUUGCUCAUAAUUCAAGGAUGUUGAUGAUGAACUGAUUCUAUGAUCAGUUACGCACUCGCAAUUUCUUUGAAGAAUUGGGACUAUGAUCAUUAAUGCCUCCUUGCAGAAGUAUAUACUGCAUGAAGUUCAGUUUGCUGCUUGGAAAGAUGCAAGCCCUUCCCGGACCUUUAUGUUAAAAAAUGUGGCAGCAUCAUGUAACUGAGAGCUUUUAAGCUAGUUGUUGCCUCCAGACUUCGACCAUAUCCUUUUGAUGGUGGAUAUUGCAGUGUAUCAUAAUAAUAUUAUGAUGCAGAUACUUGCAAAAUCAUUGUUCUCUUUCUGAAGCAUGUAUUAACUUUGUAAUUUCUUUGGGAUGUAUGAAUGUCUAUCCUGAUUAAAAGGAUUUGCAUUACCUCGCAAACCUCUUCAAGGUUCAAGUUGAAAUCUUUUGAUGAGAAAGCUUGAAGUUUAUGAUCA